GAUGAACGCUGGCGGCGUGCCUAAUACAUGCAAGUCGAGCGAACGGACGAGAAGCUUGCUUCUCUGAUGUUAGCGGCGGACGGGUGAGUAACACGUGGAUAACCUACCUAUAAGACUGGGAUAACUUCGGGAAACCGGAGCUAAUACCGGAUGAUAUUUUGAACCGCAUGGUUCAAAAGUGAAAGACGGUCUUGCUGUCACUUAUAGAUGGAUCCGCGCUGCAUUAGCUAGUUGGUAAGGUAACGGCUUACCAAGGCAACGAUGCAUAGCCGACCUGAGAGGGUGGUCGGCCCCAAUUGAAAUGAGGAAACGGCCCAGCUCCUAAGGGAGGCAGCAGUAGGGAAUCCUCCCGAAAGGGCCGAAGCCUGGCGGAACAAAGGCGCGUUAGGUAUGGAGGUCUUCGGAUUGUUAAACCCUUUUUAUUAGGAAGAACAAAUUUGUAAGUAACUGUGCACAUCUUGACGGUACCUAAUCAGAAAGCCACGGCUAACUACGUG
rnacentral:rRNA from 1 species